rnacentral:rRNA from 1 species
CUACGGGGGGCAGCAGUGAGGAAUUUUGCGCAAUGGGGGGAACCCUGACGCAGCAACGCCGCGUGAGUGAUGAAGGCUUUCGGGUCGUAAAGCUCUGUCAAGUGGGAAGAACCUAUGCAGUGUUAAUAUCACUGUAUACUGACGGUACCACUGAAGGAAGCACCGGCUAACUCCGUGCCAGCAGCCGCGGUAAUACGGGGGGUGCAAGCGUUAUUCGGAAUCAUUGGGCGUAAAGGGCACGUAGGCGGCUUGGUAAGUCAGAUGUGAAAGCCCGGGGCUUAACCCCGGAAGUGCAUUUGAUACUGUCAGGCUUGAGUAUGGGAGAGGGAAGUGGAAUUCCUGGUGUAGAGGUGAAAUUCGUAGAUAUCAGGAGGAACACCGGUGGCGAAGGCGACUUCCUGGACCAAUACUGACGCUGAGGUGCGAAGGCUUGGGUAGCAAACAGGAUUAGAUACCCUCGUAGUC